UGUUAACCAUAUAGAUGGUAUUUCUUGUUCAGCUAACAGCACCAAACAGGAAGCCAGAUUUUCAAAUACGGUGAGCAUGCUUAACUUGAUUAAGAAGCCUUAAGUGUUUGAUGAGGCGUCCACUUUGUUAAAAGAACUGUAACAAGAUUUACCAUCUUUUUUAUUGUCAAAUU
rnacentral:other from 1 species